CCCUAUCUAUUAAAUAUUUUUAAAAAAAAUAAGUCUGACUCAUUUUGUCCACGAGAGUUUUUUGAGUUUUUGUGGAGCUUCUCUCAAACAAAUUUUCCCAUUUUUCCCCUUUCCCCUGAAUUUGAGGUUUUCGCCUAGUUUCACUUCCCCCUUUCACUUCCAAUUCCCCCGUUUCACUUCCAAUUUGUGCCCUAAUUUUACCUCUGAUUUUCGCCAAGUUUCACGUGACGCAUUCGUCCCAAACCUGCAAUGAAGCAAGGCGGUUUUGCGUUGGUGGAGCAAGUCGCUCGCGGUGGCCAGGUAAUGCGAGUGAGAUAAUGGGGAACGACGAAAAUUGCGAGACGAACACUUUUGAGGCUUUAGAAGUGGUUUUCGAGUGUCAGUGAGGGGUAUUGAGAGAGUGGGUGCAAUGUGGCCAGAGAAUGGGAAUUUAGAGUUGUGAAUUUUUCUUAAACAUACAGAGUGUUCAAAGUUGAGUGUUAUACAAAUCUAUCGAGCUCAAACAAGAAAUAUGGUUUCAAAGUCUAAGUUAAACAAUUUCAAGUGGACAACAAUUAAGUUUCUAGUUGGAGAUGUCAACAAUAUCAUGAAAGUCAAAUAAUUGAAGUUAGAGAAAAUUAUUGUUUACAUGUAAUUAGUAGUACAUGUUUAUAGGUUAUGUUAGGGUGAUGUAUAUGCUUAUAAGUACUGAUAGGAUAUAUAUGUUAUGGUUGUAUAUAUUAUCUUAUAAAGCGAUGUUAUGUCAUGACACAUAUUAGAUGAGUUAACCAUUAAAUUUUGAAAUAUUAGUGUAUCAAUAAUUUUUAUUUAUAUUAAUA